UCAGAGCGUCGCCGCAGGUUCGCCUGCGGUCGCGAUGGCGUGCCUUUUGAAGAAUGAGCCUGCGAGUUGCGGUGUGUGGCGAGGUUAACCAGUGAUGGGGAGCCGGAGCGAAAGCGAGUCCGAACAGGGCGUUUAGUCGCAUGCCGCAGACCCGAAGCCGAGUGAUCUACCCAUGGGCAGGUUGAAGCGGGGGUAAGACCCCGUGGAGGACCGAACCCACCUAGGUUGAAAACUGGGGGGAUGACCUGUGGGUAGGGGUGAAAGGCCAAUCAAACUCGGUGAUAGCUGGUUCUCCCCGAAAUGCAUUUCGGUGCAGCGUCGGGCGUUCAGUCAUGGAGGUAGAGCACUGGAUGGGCUAGGGGGCCUACAAGCUUACCGACCCCAACCAAACUCCGAAUGCCAUGACUCCAGAGCCCGGCAGUGAGUCCACGGGGGAUGAGCUUCGUGGACGAGAGGGAAACAGCCCAGACCGCCGGCUAAGGCCCCUAAUUCCGAACUAAGUGGGAAACGAUGUGGGAUCGCCCAGACAGCCAGGAGGUUGGCUUAGAAGCAGCCAUCCUUUAAAGAGUGCGUAACAGCUCACUGGUCGAGUGGUCCUGCGCGGACAAUGUAACGGGGCUCAAGUUCGGAGCCGAAGCCGCGGAUCUCUGCGCUCACGCGCAGGGGUGGUAGGGGAGCGUCGAUCUCGGAGUGAAGCGUCGGUGUGAACCGGCGUGGACCGUGGUCGAGUGAGAAUGCAGGCAUGAGUAGCGAAAGAGGGGUGAGAAACCCCUCCGCCGAAUGCCCAAGGGUUCCUGGGGAAGGCUAAUCCGCCCAGGGUGAGUCGGGAGCUAAGGCGAGGCCGAAAGGCGUAGUCGAUGCACAACCGGUUGAUAUUCCGGUACCGCCGUGCCCGCGCCCACGCCGAAUCCGGGUAGCUAAGGGGCUGUCUUCGGACGAACCGACCCACCUGGAGGAGGCGAGCGAUGCGGGGACGCAGGAGGGUAGGUGAGCCCAGGCGAUGGUUGUCCUGGGGUAAGCGUGUAGGCCGGGGACCAGGUAAGUCCGGGCCCCACACAGGCUGAGACGCGACACCGAGCCGCCACAGGCGAAGUCACCGAUCCCAUGCUGCCGAGAAAAGCCGCUAGCGAGCUGGCACGGCGCCCGUACCCCAAACCGACGCAGGUGGGCAGGUAGAGAAUACCAAGGCGAUCGGGAGAACGGUGGUUAAGGAACUCGGCAAAAUGCCUCCGUAACUUCGGGAGAAGGAGGGCCCCACUAGGGUGACAGGCCGCGCGCCUCGAGCUCGAAGGGGCCGCAGAGUCCAGGGGGAAGCGACUGUUUACUAAAAACACAGCAGCGUGCGAAGUCGUAAGACGCCGUAUACGCUGUGACGCCUGCCCGGUGCCGGAAGGUUACGGGGAAGGGUUAGCCGCAAGGCGAAGCUCUGAACCUAAGCCCCGGUAAACGGCGGCCGUAACUAUAACGGUCCUAAGGUAGCGAAAUUCCUUGUCGGGUAAGUUCCGACCUGCACGAAUGGCGUAACGACUUCCCCACUGUCUCAACCACCGACCCGGCGAAAAUUGAAGUACGAGUAAAGAUGCUCGUUAGCUGCGGCAGGACGGAAAGACCCCGUGGACCUUCACUACAGCUUGAUAUU
rnacentral:rRNA from 1 species